AGCCACAGCCAUAUCACCAUGCAGCCCAAGACUGGUGACUCACUUUAAGCAGGGCUGAGCCUGGUCAGUACCUGGAUGGGAGACCACAUGGGAAAACUAGGUUGCUGUUGGAA
rnacentral:rRNA from 1 species